rnacentral:lncRNA from 1 species
CUGACUCAAAUGUUAAUCUUCUUUGGCAACACCCUCACAGACACACCCAGGAUCAAUACUUUGUAUCCUUCCAUCCACUCAAGUUCACACUCAGGAUUAUCACAGAAGGCAUACUAUGUUCUGAGCUUUCUUCUCUGUACUGUAAAAAAAAAUACAGCAGUGAAUGAAACAGACAAAAAUUCUACCCUUGUGGAGUUUAUAUUCCAGCUGGGAGUGAAAGAUGAAAAUAAUUUAUAUAUUAUAUAUAUAUGUAAUAUAUAGAAAUAUAUAUUUAUUUAUAUAUCUAUAUUUAAAAAUAUGUAUGGGGAAGAUUUUGUGAUAAAUACCAUGAAGAAAAGUGUAUUAGAGAAGAGGUUAACGAAUGUGUGUGUGGUGGGUGGUGGAAUUUUAAGUGGUGUUAGGAAAGACCUCAUUCAGAAGGUAGCAUGUGAGCAAACAUGAAGGAGGUACAAAAAGUCCUCCUGCCAUCAUGGAGGGACAGUAAGAAGGUCCUGGUGGCUGGAGUGAAGUAGCAAAGUGGAGAAUAAGGGAAAAAGUUGGAGAUGAAACAGAAGGGGACUCAGAGCUCUAUUCAUCUUACUAGUGGCUUUGCCUUAUUAAACAAAGACCUUUAAACAGAUGUUAACAAGAUCCCUCUGACUCCUAAUUUGGAGAUGACUUUAGGGGAAUAAGGGAAGAAAGAGAGAUCAGUGAGAAGCAGAAUUCUUUUUUUCAGGGUCUUUCUCAUUGUUGUUCUCACUACCAUCAUCCUUUGGACAGACAGGUACUCUUUUUAAGUCAAUUUGAUCUAAAUGUGGGUUUUAAAAAAAUCCUUUUCUUUGUUUAACAGCUGAGACAAAGCAGGAAUUUUAAAGCAACACUUUACUGACAAACUAUGUAGAAUCAAAGUAACAUGAAACUAGAUAAUUUGUUCUAUCAUAGGAGAUAUCUUAUUCAAAUGAAGUCCCCUAGGAGAAACUCUUCUUCUGACUCCCUCUUCACACUGGACAGCAGAGGCCAUCUUUAACUUUCCCACAAGAGAGGGCUCCACAAGACAUAGUCAUUACUCAAGAGAUUGAGAAUCAAGACAGAGAAGUUUAGUCUCCUCCUAUGCUUACUUAAGGCUCACCUCCUUAACUCUGAUUUCCUCUCUGGGAAAUCUCUAUUCCUCUGGUGACUGUAUACUGGGAUUUAGUACAACAUUUAGGGAAGUGCAACCUACUCAAAAUAUCCAAAUAUAGCACCAUAAUUCUAACACUCUAAUAAGAGGCACAUCCACGUAUUUUCAAGGGUGGGGAAAGAUCAUUAAAUAACAGUAUGAGUUAUAUUAUGUUCUCAGUAAAUAUUAGUUACCUUUUCUUCCUCUUGGAGUGACUUUUACCACCCUCUGUAACUCAUCUAGCCUUAUCUAAUGGGAGGCCAUUUUAUUUUGGGAUGGCAUGACUACAUAAUUUCAAGCUAUUUCUUAUGUUAUUUGCCGCCUCUUAAAUAUCUUCCCCUUACCUCCUUCUCAUACAAACCUUAAAGUUCUUCAUAAGUCACAACAACUUAUAAGGUCUUUUACCUAACUGAACCGAUGUCUUCUCUUUGCUGUACAUUUACAUGUCUAUAACAAUCAUUUUUCAUUUAAAUAUGAAACUCUUGGAUAUAAAAAUAUUAACUUGAAAAAUAGUAACCCUGAUUUGCUCUUUAUACUUUAACACCUUUUGUUUCUUUGUUUAUAAAUCCACUGUGCAAAGCUGUUUAUGCAGCAGAAAUUUAGUAAACAUUCUGUGAAUGUCUGAAACAUCCAUUCAUCAAUCCACUCACACAAAAACAUUAACAUAUACUUUGUCAUGCAUUGUUAGAUGUUCAAGCAUGAAAAUCAAACAGUAGUGAAGAAUAAUUUAUUGUAAAUAUUAUUUUUCAGGGAAGAGAACACUUUAGAAAUAACUUCUUGAGAAAUUGGUUUGGGAAAAUAGUAUAUCCAAAAUUAGAGAGCGCCAUCUUGUGGGCAAGCGAAAAUACUGAGGCUCAACAGACAUAAAAUGGCUUGAGUUACCAGGCUACAGUAGAACUAGGAUUUCAGUCCAGGUAAGUUUGGAAAUUUUUUUUGCUUGUGGAAUAGAGGUAUGGUAUCACUUUUUUCUGAAUUUUAUUUUAAUUGCUUUUAACAUUGAGCACCUUUCAUAAGUAAUAUGUUUCACCACCCAUUCGGUUGUUGUUGUUGUAUAUAUUUGGAAAGUAACAUUGUGGGUUUGCGUUAUUUGAUUCAGAAAUUUUACAUAUGUGAUUCCAUAUGGUAAAUCUAUGCAGUGUUUGUAUUUGGGUUUGUGUUUAAAUUAUUUCUGUGUCAAGUAUAAGGAAGAGGAUUGUAGUGCGGGGUCUGUGUCAGGGAAAUGGGGGACUGUAAAGAACAGAGGAAAGAAUAUGCAUGUAAUGAGAGGUUGAAAGGCUGAGAAGGGCAGCUCCAGGCAUGUAAUCUACAAUGGCCAUGAAUGCAUGUCAUGAGGAAAAGAUGCCUUUUCAGGAACAAAAUAAUCAACUGAAAACUGUUUUCAUUCACUUUUCUAAGCCCCUAGUUUUUUGUUUUCUCCUAUUAUUGUGCAAAAUUUCUGGCCAGACUAUUGCUGACAUGUACCUUUGAAUAAAAAAAAUGGCUGUAACUAUUCUGAAACAUGUUAAGUUAGAAAGCAAUAAAAUAGAUCCACUUCCUGGAAAAAAGCUCUUAUUAACUAUAUGUCAACUAUUUCAGAUAAGGAGUAGGAAGUUUCAGUAAAGCUUCUAGAUACACAAAAGAGAGGAUAAAAUAUUAGAGGGACUUAGAAAGACGUGAUAUUUGCACUGAGGAAAGAAGGUAGCCUGUAAGUUGACCACAUAGGACCACGGCUUUAUUAUUGUGCACCGUGCUUUCAUUAGUAUAUAAAAGAGGUGAUUGUGUGAGAUUUAAAUCAAGCAUGAACUUAAACUAAAUUCCAUAUUAAUUAUAAACGGUAUGUUUACUUUAUUCAAAAAAAGAUAUAUGUUUCUCAAAAUAAUUGCAAAUAUUAUUAUUAAUUAUAUAAAAAUAAAGAGGAAUGAGGAUACUAAUCUACUCACCUAAGUUCUAGCUAAGAGAUGAGGUAGCAAAGGAGGAAGAAGUUCUUCAGUUCCUGGUCUUGAUGGGUAAAGCGAUUUGAUCUCAUUAUAUUCUCUCCAAUAUAAUCAUAUUAAUAUCGAAGUCAUCAGAACGGAGUUGAUAUUAUCAAGCUAAGUAAAUAUUAGAAAAAUAAAAAUUAACAAAUGGUUUCACUAAAACUGCAAAGUUUGUACCUGGACCACAAAGCUAAUGGACUGGCCUACAAUGGUCUUUGUUUUAACUAGUAUUCCGGGGGUUGAUGGAAAGGGAGUGGAAUUAAAGGGCAUUGUAAAAUGUCAUGGCAUCCAAUCUAAUUAUCAGAGCUCUAGCUCCAGGGUCAGCAAACUUUUUCUGUGACAAGCCAGAUAGUAAAUAUUUUAGCCUUUUGGGGCCACAAGAACUCUGUAGUAACUACUCAACUCUGCUGUUGCAGAGCAAAUGCAGUUAUCUGUAGACAAUCUGUAAUGAAUGAGCAUAAUAUGUUCCAAUAAACUUUAUUUACAAAAUGAAAAAAAGUAGUGGGCAGGAUUUGCUCUGUGGUAGUUUUCCAACCCCUACCUAGCUCCCUUUGAAAUAAAAAAAAAAUUAAGUAAACUUUAGAGAUUUUGGAACAAGAUGUAUGUUGGCCCCCUUCAGAUACAGAUAAACACUUGGUCUAAGAAUGAAAUGUUGUUCAACUGGAGUUCAGAAACAAGAUAUGAACUUCUCAAAAGCUUUGAUGAAUUUAAACACUAGAGGGCACAAAAGGACAUUUUUAAGUCAAGGACCUCUUGUAAACAGAACACUACAAUUAUGAGAAACUGCCUGAAGUAGAGCGAUGUGACCUCAAUGUGCAUAAUUUGUUUGAAAUGUCAGCCUGUAGCUCUUGUGACCUCACUGACCACAAAAACUUGAAGUGGUUGACCACCUUCAUGUUGCUGUAAUAAUAGCCACAUGUCUUUCUUCUUUUUUUCCUACUUCUUUCUCACUUCUUUCUCUCUCUUUUUUUUUUUUUUUUUUGAUUGCUUUUGGCCCUUUCAUAAAAUAUGGCCAAAAUUGAGGAUUUAUAUGAUGGGAUUUUUUUUCAUUUCCUAAUAGUUUUUUUAAUUGCUUUAGAUUCUAAUUUUCAUGUGGUGAGUCCUAUUUGUAGUAAAUAAGUUAUUUUGAAUUAUGUUGUGUCAAUCUUUUAUAAAAUCAUAAUAAAAUAAUGCAUGUUAUUUAUGCAUAUGAUUUAUGCAUAUAAUAAUGUAUAUUGACAGAUGUCAUCUGUUACAUUGAUUUAUGAACUAAUUUGAAAGUUUUAUUUCAGAAAAAUGCUUAAAAAUCAGCAGAAGCUUGAAGCCUCAAAAUUACUCCUACCCUUUAACACAUGGACACAAAGAUGGUAACAGUAGACACUGAGGAUUCCAAAAGCCAGGAGGGGAAAGGGGAAUAAGGGAGGAAACUCUACCUACUGGGUACAAUGCUGACCACCUGGGUGAUGGGAUCAGCACUGCCCCAAACCUCAGCAUCACGCAAUAU